AGUGAACGCUGGCGGUAGGCCUAACACAUGCAAGUCGAACGGCAGCACAGUAAGAGCUUGCUCUUACGGGUGGCGAGUGGCGGACGGGUGAGGAAUACAUCGGAAUCUACUUUUUCGUGGGGGAUAACGUAGGGAAACUUACGCUAAUACCGCAUACGACCUACGGGUGAAAGCAGGGGAUCUUCGGACCUUGCGCGAUUGAAUGAGCCGAUGUCGGAUUAGCUAGUUGGCGGGGUAAAGGCCCACCAAGGCGACGAUCCGUAGCUGGUCUGAGAGGAUGAUCAGCCACACUGGAACUGAGACACGGUCCAGACUCCUACGGGAGGCAGCAGUGGGGAAUGUUGGACAAUGGGCGCAAGCCUGAUCCAGCCGUACCGCGUGGGUGAAGAAGGCCUUCGGGUUGUAAAGCCCUUUUGUUGGGAAAGAAAAGCAGCAGGUUAAUACCCCGCUGUUCUGACGGUACCCAAAGAAUAAGCACCGGCUAACUUCGUG
rnacentral:rRNA from 1 species